GUCUGCUGUGGGCCUUUCCCAGGCGUGGCUGAGACUUUCAGGCGCCACGGGCUUCCCCCCGGGCAGGAUGUUGGCGUUUGGAGUUGUUGCGGUGCAGAUGAUGAAGGCAAAUGUGGUGAGCAAAAGAAGAUCAGAGGGUGUGGCUGCUGCAGAGGAUGUGUCUGCUGUUGAGGAUGCCUCUUGAGGAGCAACAGUGAUGCAGAGCACUGCAAAAGCGAAGUGCAUGGGCAAAGGGUGUUGCGGUGUGUGUGUGUGUGUUGGUGUGUGUGAGGCAGAGGCAGUGGGGUGUGCAUGGCAGAAAGUGAGGGUGGGUGUCAGGCAGGGCAGCUCCAGCCUGUGUCUGUGUUGUUGUGUAGUCUAUGUGGUGUGUGUUGUAGCUGUGCUAUCUUUUGCUCAGGUCUUGAUGUUGCCCUUGCUCUUUGUGCUCAAGGAGCACAGCAUAUGCUUUGUAGUGCUAGUGCAACAGGCAUCUGCUGUCUUUUGUCUGGUCUUGACCGACUCAUCUGUGUUGCUCCAAUGAUCAUCUUGUUCUGUGCAGGCAGCUGAAAGCAGCAGUCUGUCACUGUGAUUCUGCAUUGUUUCUGGCCAAUCAUCUUGGCAGCCAUCAUUCAGGUCUUGUUGGUUGUGUGUUUUCUGAGGCCUCUCUUAUUUUGCAUCCUCCUGGUGCCCUUUCAGGGUUUUCUUCCCUGUGUCAUCAGAGCCUCGGGUCUUUCUUGCUGGCCUCUUCCGCAUGGCCGUUCCUCGCUUUGCCGGCCCCUUUCCAUCACAGAUGGUGGCAUCUGACUCUUUUCUGGUCUCGUGGAGAGCACCAGAGCCGCACGGUCGUGGCAUUGUAGGGCUUUCUGGCUGGCAGCAUCUUCUGUGCUGGCAUUGUUUUUUGCAUGGAGGGUGUGUGUACGUGUCUGUGUGUACGUGUCUGUGUGUACGUGUCUGUGUGUACGUGUCUGUGUGUACGUGUCUGUGUGUACGUGUCUGUGUGUACGUGUCUGUGUGUACGUGUCUGUGUGUACGUGUCUGUGUGUACGUGUCUGUGUGUACGUGUCUGUGUGUACGUGUCUGUGUGUGUGUUUGGAGCUGCCUUGCCUGUGGGUGUAGUAAUGGUAGUUGCCAGAGCAGAAUAAUGUAUCUAUGAAACACUUAUUUUGUUUUUUCUUU